CACCGCGGUUAUACGGGAGACCCAAAUUGAUAGUUAUCGGCGUAAAGCGUGGUUAAAAAUAAAGAUGCUAAGAUCGAAUGCUUACCUAUAACUGUUAAAUGUAUAUUAGGGGUUAGAAGCUCAAUCACGAAAGUAGUCUUAAUUAUGUUGAAUCCACGAAAGCUAUGGCA
rnacentral:rRNA from 1 species